UGCAGUCGAACGGAAAGGCCCUUCGGGGUACUCGAGUGGCGAACGGGUGAGUAACACGUGGGUGAUCUGCCCUGCACUUUGGGAUAAGCCUGGGAAACUGGGUCUAAUACCGAAUAUACCUUGCUGGUUGCAUGACCUGGUGGGGGAAAGCUUUUGCGGUGUGGGAUGGGCCCNCGGCCUAUCANCUUGUGNUGGUGAGGUUAUGGCUUACCAAGGCGACGACGGGUAGCCGGCCUGAGAGGGUGACCGGCCACACUGGGACUGAGAUACGGCCCAGACUCCUACGGGAGGCAGCAGUGGGGAAUAUUGCACAAUGGGCGCAAGCCUGAUGCAGCGACGCCGCGUGAGGGAUGACGGCCUUCGGGUUGUAAACCUCUUUCANCAGGGACGAAGCGCAAGUGACGGUACCUGUAGAAGAAGGACCGGCCAACUACGUGCCAGCAGCCGCGGUAAUACGUAGGGUCCGAGCGUUGUCCGGAAUUACUGGGCGUAAAGAGCUCGUANGUGGUUUGUCGCGUUGUUCGUGAAAACUCACAGCUCAACUGUGGGCGUGCGGGCGAUACNGGCAGACUGGANUACUGCANGGGANACUGGAAUUCCUGGUGUAGCGGUGGAAUGCGCA
rnacentral:rRNA from 1 species